AAUGAACGUUGGCGGCGUGGAUUAGGCAUGCAAGUCGAGCGGGUGCAGCAAUGCACCAGCGGCGGAAGGGUGAGUAAGGCGACGGCAACCAACCCCGAGGAUGGGUAUAGCCGCGGGAAACUGCGGGUAAUCCCCAGCGAUGCGAGGGCGUCGGCAUCGACGCUUCGCCAAAUGGAUUCGUCCGCCUCGGGACGGGCCGUCGUGGUAUUAGGUCGUUGGCGGGGUAGCGGCCCACCAAGCCUUCGAUGCCUACCGGGCGUGCGAGCGCGGCCCGGCACACUGGGACUGGGACACUGGCCAGAGUCCGACGGGAGGCUGCAGUCGGGAAUCUUCGGCAAUGGGCGCAAGCCUGACCGAGCGACGCCGCGUGGAGGACGAAGGCCUUCGGGUUGUAAACUCCUGUCGAGGGGGAGAAAGGCUCCGCGAGGGGCUUGAUCGAUCCCUGGAGGAAGCACGGGCUAAGUUCGUGCCAGCAGCCGCCGUAACAC
rnacentral:rRNA from 1 species